GCGGGCUGUGUGUGUGUGUGUGUGUGUGUGCGCGCGGGCGGGCUGGUGUGCGCGCUCCCGUGUUGGGCGGGGGACACUUCCAGCCCACCCCCCGAGGCUGAACCUCGUACAGGGAAUCUCUGCGCCCUGGCAGACCCUCCGGAUACAGCCCUCCUUUCUUAGUUGUCUUGUCGGGGUAGAUAGGUAAGGGUUAAAGAAGGAUGGAGAGGAGUAAGAUAAAACUGUGGAUCUAGACUUUUUAGAAAGGUUUUCACUUACAUUCUAUCUUUUGCCUCCCCCUCUACGCCCUCCCUACGCCCCAGUCUCUCCGGCCCAAACAUCUUUCCCUCCCACUUAAUGAAAAAACAAGACUAAACGAAAACACUACAGCCCAGGCAGGUUUGUUGGCUGCUUGCUGACCUUUGAAGUGGUGUGGGGCAGGGGAUGCCAAGCGGCUGUGCGAUCUAUUGUGUUCUUGCCUUCCUGGACUGGGCAGGGCUGUUGGUAGGGAGGCCAGGCCUCUGGGCUGGGUGACAUUUCAGUCCAUCAAAGUCUGUGCUGGUUUUCCUCCGACUAAACAUGUGGUAUCUCAUACCAACAGUCUGGGUUGCUUUGUCUCACCAUGGAUUCGUGCUCUUCUUAAAUAACCGUAAGCUUCAGGCAAGGAUGCAUUUAGAUUCUGAAAGAAUCUGAACCUGUCUCUUACCCUAGAUGGGUGGGUUGGAGAGCUGGUCAUUUCAGAUUUCUGAGUCAUUUGACUUUCCCAGUGCUCAUUCCUUCUGCCUUUCACCCACAUCCACCAAUCUGUGUGGAAAGAGGAACAAGAGAGAGUUACUGGGAUCACUUUUUCUUUAAAAAAAAAAAAAAAAAUCAUUGGAGCAGGCUUUCUUGUUAGCACCCAGAGCCCCAUGGUUUGCACUUGCUGUUGCCUGGAUUAAAAAGCCAGUUUGAUCACCGAACUCCCAGUUAGUCAAGUUGUCUCAUUCAGGUGGCAACAGACAUAUUCCUUUAAUAGAGGUUGCCAAAAGCCAUCAAUUACUUGAAAUCUGGCAGUUAAAGGCAAAUUAAAAAAAAAAAAGUCAUGGUAAAGCAUAAUUUAAUUUUAAAGUUCACGUUACUGUGGGAGGAUGAAGCUCGCUGUCUGAACUUCUCAAAGACCACUGUUUUCCCUGAGCACCUGUGUUCAAGGAAAACCAAAUAUAAUCUUCUCUAUUUCUGGCCACUUGCAAAUCCAUGGCAAGAUUAUUUAAGGAUAUAAACUCUUGGGGCGCCCAGGUGGCUCAGAUGGUUGGGCAUCUGCCUUCGGCUCGGGUCAUGGUCUCGGGGUCCUGGGAUCAAGCCCCACAUCGGGCUCCCUGCUUGGCGGGGAGCCUGCUUCUCCCUCUCCCUCUACUGUUCUCCCUACUUGUGCUCUCUCGCUCUCUCUGCCAAAUAAAUAAAUAAAAUCUUUAAAAAGAAAAAAAAAAGUUUCAAAAAAAGGAUAUAAACUCUUGCUUGGAUGACCAGAGUUAAGCAAUCCAAUUAUAGUCAGUAUGUGAAUCUUCUUGUGUGGUUUUAGAAGGCUGUUUCCGGAGAGCCCCAUGAGAUGAGUGGUCUCCCUGGUGCCUCAGAUAUUACCAGCCCUCAGAUGCUCUGUGGGUCUCCAUUUCAUGGGCAGGUAGGGAGGUGGCUAUAAGGCAGCUUGCCUGGGCCUUGAGUUUGCAUUGAUAGUUGAUGAUUGGCUUUUUUAUGUGGUCUUCUCUGUGAGGAAUGGACUCUGAUCAGACUAAUAAAUUAUAGUACAGGGGAAGUGGAUUUUCAGAAUUGCCCCACCCCAUUAUGGAACACUGAACAGCAUGGCGUAUGAAAUUAGAUGACAGGGCUAGUUCAGCAGACAGGAAUAUUGUAAGUCAGCCAGAGGUCACGCAUUACCAUCAUUACCAUUCCCCUCUCCUGGGUCACCUGUAGAGUGGUAGCAUGGGAUAGUGGGACAGAGUGAGGACUCUGCAGUCCACACUCCUCCACAUGAAUCCUGGCUCCACCAUGUACUAGCUGGGUGACCUUGGGCCAGGUGCUUCCCCUUCCUUGAUUCUGGGCCUCCCUGUCUGUAAAUGGGAAUAAUAACAACUCAGGAGAAUAGAGAGGUUAUAAGAAUUAUCAGGGAAAAUGGGUAAUUUUCAUUAGUUUCAUUAGGAUAUAGUUAGUGCUUUGUAAAGAACUUUUGUUUUUGUUAGAAGCCACGUGAGUAGACAAAAUACAUGAGAUUUGGGGUCAGACACCCUGUGUUCAAAUCCCGACCUUACCGUUUGCAAGCUUUUUGAUUCUGGGCAAGUUACUUAACCUCGCUGAGCCUCAGUUUCAUUACUUGGGCAAGUGAGGACGUUAGCUAUCUUAGGCACAGUGGUGCAUUUACUGGGAAUCACACAAAACUUACGCUUCAGGUCCUCAUUUGCACAGGCUCUUCCAACACUCGGUACCUAAUUCUGUAUGCAGAAUUUUCUUUUUCUUAGGAAGGGUCUCCUCACGACGUGUAAGCUUCCCACGAACCCGGGACCUGCCUGUGUGUGUGCCGUUGGGAGACUGAGCGAGCUACCCCGUGUAAAGCAGCCAGCACAGUAUCAGGCAGGGGAUAGCUGAGCAGUCAUGGCUGCCUCCGUCAUGUCCAGAGGUGUCGUCACGAAACAAUUCCUUCAUAACUUGACCUUAGUAUAGUUGUAAUGAAAUCCACCCUGAUACUCCCAGUUCUUAGGGUUUUUUUCCAUUUGAAGAUUAUCCAUGCCCUGGCUUGUCUAUAUCAAAAAAGAGAAGAGAGGAAAGGGGUGCCAUUCAAAUGAGUAGGUUUGGCUGAUUGUGAGAAGCGUGGUAACAUAAUUUCUUUUUGUUUGUUUUUUUUAAAGGUUUUAUUUACUUAUUUGACAGAGAGAGACACAGCGAUAGAGGGAACACAGCAGGGGGAGUGGGAGAGGGAGAAGCAAGCUUACCGCGGAGCAGGGAGCCCGAUGCGGGGCUCGAUCCCAGGACUCCAGGAUCACGACCCGAGCCGAAGGCAGACGCUUAACGACUGAGCCACUCAGGUCCCCCGAGCCUGGAAGGGCAGAAUUUUAUGUUCUGUCUCGCUUGGUAAGGCCACUAAUUGUCCUGGCAUCUAGCACAGUGCCUGGUCCAAGGCCAAAGAAGGAUGAUAGCAUUAGGUGUCAGGAACGAGGUGAACGGGACAAAUAUACUUAUCCUUGGCCGGGACCUGAGACUCUGGGCACACAAGAACAGCCAGCCUCUUUUGGGAGCCAUAGAACUUUGGAGCUAUUCUGCUGAGGCCUCAAGAAAUAAAAUAGAAUCAUUGAUAAUUUAACCAAAUAACAUUAAUGGUGAAUAUGUGGGAGUCUUCUUUUUUAAAGUCGAAUUAGCUAAACAUCUUCAUAUAUGUUUAUGUAAAGAUGAUCAACUAUAUGUAAUCUUUUAUUUUAUUUUAUUUUAUUAUGUUAUGUUAGUCACCAUACAGUACAUCGUUAGUUUUUGAUGUAGUGUUCCAUGAUUCAUUGUUUGCAUAUAACACCCAGUGUUCCAUGCAGAACGUGCCCUCUUUAAUACCCAUCACCAGGCUAACCCAUGCCCCCACCCCCUCCCCUCUAGAACCCUCAGUUUGUUUCUCAGAGUCCAUAGUCUCUCAUGGUUCAUCUCCCCCUCCGAUUCCCCCCCUUCAUUUUUCCCUUCCUGCUGUCUUUUUUUUUUUUUUAAACAUAUAAUGUAUUAUUUAUUUCAGAGGUACAGGUCUGUGAUUCAACAGUCUUAACACAAUUCACAGCGCUCAACUAUAUGUAAUCCUAAAAGACUCCUUCUUGCCUAUCUACCUCAUCCCCCAAAUUGCCUCUUUUCAGGGUUAUGAAGACUUAGAACCUUAGAAUAAGAAAAAACCUGAAGCAUUACUGAAUCUGUUAUUUUAUAGUUGAGGAAACUGAGCCCGUAUCAGUUUUAAGAUAGGUGGCGGUGGGUACCAAAUUGCCUUUAUAUUAAUGUGCCACUGGAAAUGUAGAUAAUGGAAGGCCAGAUGGAGAGGUAGGGGUAGGGUCAGGCAUGCAAGCUGGGUGUCCUAAAUCACUUUUCCCAUCCCAAGGAUGACCAUAGAGCCUGUUGCCUGCAACAGUCCUGGUUUAUUUACAUCUGUUGUCCUGGCAUAAUUAUUAGCACCCUCUUUUCUUUUAAAAGAUCCCUGGUUUGGACAAUAUGUUCUAUCCCCAAUACCACACUGUCCUCCACUUCUUAGCAAUAAAGAGGAGCAAGGAGCUAAAGCCCAUUCAAGCUGUCUUCAGAAUGAUUGGAUUUUUUUUUUUUUUCUUUUUUGUAAAGCUGGAAGAGGAAGCUCAUGGGAGUCUAAGGGUGAGAACCACAGGCCAGUAAGCCCUCCUGAGAGGACAGUAGAAACUGGAAAGUCAGCAGGACCCAGGCAUACUCUGUAUCUCCCACUGCUUCCUCGGUUUUUCCCUACCAAAGUGUUUCCUCUGUUGACUCACUGUGCCCAGGCUGUUUACUCAUCGAGGGCUUCCUCAGCCCCAGCCCUAUGUGAUGCUUCAGCUGCUGAGCCUCCCAAGAGCAGGCUUUAUCUCUUGGUUUCUCCUUUCCAAAUGUGUAACAGAGUAAUGUGAUUGGCUCAGCACAAGCAGAAAUCACAGAUCCUUAAACAGAGGCACUAUCCUUGCAAGAUUCUUUAACUCCUAAGCAAAAUUAUCCAACUCCUCCCUGGCUUUUAGAAACAUGAUCUCGUGAUAUCAAAAUCAUAUUACGUUUCUUUUAGUAUCUCACUAAUUCAUGGUGACCAUGAGUGCAUUCAUUAUUAAUGGUUAAGGCAAUGGAGUAAAUCGGUAGGUCUCAGUAUAGUCCCUAGACUCUAGGAACUGCAUCAAAAUCACUUAUAGAGUUUCAAAAAUGCAGAUGAUGCCAGCAUUGCUGAAUCAGACUCCUUAGGACUGGCCCCCAAGUUAAAAAACUAACCAUGCAGCCCAUGACUGGUUUGGAUGGUGAUUAUGGCAGCCCACAUCUUUAUUCCUUGAGAUGGCAAUUCCUUUUUUUUUUUAACCUUUGUAUUUUAUUCUUUAUUUUUGUUUAUUUUUCUGAUAAGAAAUACAUGCCAUUAUAAAAAGUCAGAUACAACAAAAAAUAAUAAAGCAGAGAUAACUACUGUUAACCUAGUGUUAACUAUUCCACAUUUUUAUUUAUGCAUGUAUAGUAACAGAUACACUUUACAAAAAUGGGGUGCUUCUAUUCCCACUCUUUAUUUACUUUUAAUUUCAUCUGGUAUAGUUGACAUCUGAAAGAGAUGAUAAUUCCAGUUGAGGACGUUACUACUAGUGGUUACUAUCAUUUUUCAAGUUUACAUUAAAGGAAGGAUUUGGUAGGGGGAGGGGAAGUGUGUUGCUUGUGAGAACCGUUCUUGCUUUCUUAAUAAAGUGCAAGAUUUCAUUCUGUCAGGCCGCAGCAAAGGGGCCAUCUGUUCUGCCAGACUUUUGCUUGUUUCCUGGGGGAGAAUCAGCAGGUGGGAUUGUAAGAUCAUUAAUGCAAACAUAGGAUGUUGGCCAAGUGACUAGGCAUUUAUGGCCUGUGUCAUCAGGAUAUAUGCUCUACAUACAUGGUCUACUAAAUGCAGGGACCAUUUUUCAUCAAAGCUGGUAACCAGUCAAAAGCAA